GGCAAAGAUAAACAAAACCUCGCUGAUAUCCAGAACAGCCCCUCUGCAUGUAUAAUUCAGGCUCAGAACACACAACCAGUUUGUGAUGUGUUAAAGACUUCUGCCAGUGGACUCCCACGUUUCCAUAUCCUGCAGGUAUAUAGUGCUGGAAGGUAUCUGCCUACAAUCAACUAUAUUUAUCUAUGGCUAAAUAUAAGAUUUAUAAUUGGGAAUGUGGAUUUAUGUAAUCAUCCUAGUGGUCUUCUCAUAAGCCAUUGCAAGUUUUUUGCUGAACAGGUGUUCAAUUUCUCCAUUUGUAUUCCAUGGUACAUUGGAACAAAUUGCCACAAAAUGAGUGCCUGAAACUUCAAAGGAUAAGAACUUCUUAGUAGGAAUAUAGUAAAAUAGAUUUGGUUGUCAUUGUCAUUUGGACUUCAGUACAUCAGUACCUCUGGACAUCAGAAUGAGAGGGAUAUGUUCUCCACCUCCUCCCCCUCCUCCCCCUCCUCCCUCUCCUCCCCCUCCCCC
rnacentral:lncRNA from 1 species